CAGCCGCCGCGGUAAUACGUAGGGGGCAAGCGUUGUCCGGAAUCACUGGGUGUAAAGGGCGUGUAGGCGGGUCAGCAAGUUGGAUGUGAAAUUCCCCGGCUUAACCGGGGAGGGUCAUCCAAAACUGUUGAUCUUGAGUGCAGCAGGGGGUGGUGGAAUUCCUGGUGUAGCGGUGAAAUGCGUAGAUAUCAGGAGGAACACCGGAGGCGAAGGCGGCCACCUGGGCUGUUACUGACGCUGAGGCGCGAAAGCGUGGGGAGCAAACAGGAUUAGAUACCCUGGUAGUCCACGCUGUAAACGAUGGGCACUAGGUGCUGGCAUGGUGAAUGUCGGUGCCGCAGCUAACGCAUUAAGUGCCCCACCUGGGGAGUACGCUCGCAAGGGUGAAACUUAAAGGAAUUGGCGGG
rnacentral:rRNA from 1 species